GUGGUUAACGUGUUGUCGAUUUUAUUGUAGGAUUUUGAGCCCUUUGAAAAUUUGAGGAGCAUAAAUUCAUUGUCAACGAUUUGUGUGAAGAGUAUUUUGGAGAUUUGGUUAUGGGCUAGGUAUAUGAAGGAGAGAGGGAGAAUCAAGAAUAUUGUAAUUUGAGUGAAGAUUUUUCUCCAUGAUGAAACUAUAGUGCAUGAUUCUUUUAGUAUGCCAAAAAAACCUAGGAAUUGGAU
rnacentral:lncRNA from 1 species